rnacentral:rRNA from 1 species
UCUUGACCUCGGAUCAGGUAGGGAUACCCGCUGAACUUAAGCAUAUCAAA